rnacentral:lncRNA from 1 species
UUAAGUUUGAUGUUAAUGGAAAACCCAUUUAAAACAAUGAUUACCCUCUGAAGAAAAAGUGAGUGCACUCAAGUGGAAACGGAAGAUUUAUUGAUCAGUUUUCAGGCACAUCAAAAGCUUUCUAAUCAACCCCUGGAUGUGCCGCUUGGCGAGGAAGGAGACGCUGCAGGCCUCGCCCUUGGCGCCCAGCACGGCCACCGCCAUGAGCGCGGCCUUCCCCUGCCCCUUCACAACGGGGAGAAGGAAAACCAAAACAAGUGUGGUGAGCAAAAGGAACCAAAGAACCACAAGUGAAGAGACAACAAGAGGAAUAGAGCUGGGAGAAAAUCACCGUACUUUUGUAAGUAGAUGGCCACGUUGCCUGCUAAAGUAUUUCCUCCAAGUCCAGAGACACUCAGGUGACAUUGCCAUUGCUUCUUUUGCACACCCAGCUG